AGUGGCGGACGGGUGAGUAACGCGUAAGAAUCUAACUUCAGGACGGGGACAACAGUGGGAAACGACUGCUAAUACCCGAUGUGCCGCAAGGUGAAACCUAAUUGGCCUGGAGAAGAGCUUGCGUCUGAUUAGCUAGUUGGUGGGGUAAAGGCCUACCAAGGCGACGAUCAGUAGCUGGUCUGAGAGGAUGAGCAGCCACACUGGGACUGAGACACGGCCCAGACUCCUACGGGAGGCAGCAGUGGGGAAUUUUCCGCAAUGGGCGAAAGCCUGACGGAGCAACGCCGCGUGAGGGAGGAAGGUCUUUGGAUUGUAAACCUCUUUUCUCAAGGAAGAAGCUCUGACGGUACUUGAGGAAUCAGCCUCGGCUAACUCCGUGCCAGCAGCCGCGGUAAUACGGGGGAGGCAAGCGUUAUCCGGAAUUAUUGGGCGUAAAGCGUCCGCAGGUGGUCAGCCAAGUCUGCCGUCAAAUCAGGUUGCUUAACGACCUAAAGGCGGUGGAAACUGGCAGACUAGAGAGCAGUAGGGGUAGCAGGAAUUCCCAGUGUAGCGGUGAAAUGCGUAGAGAUUGGGAAGAACAUCGGUGGCGAAAGCGUGCUACUGGGCUGUAUCUGACACUCAGGGACGAAAGCUAGGGGAGCGAGAGGGAUUAGAUACCCCUGUAGUCCUAGCCGUAAACGAUGGAUACUAGGCGUGGCUU
rnacentral:rRNA from 1 species